GUGCGGUCACCAAAAUUUACAUUUUUUAAACGUUGGCAUAGCUAACAACUCUGGCGGAGCAAAUAAAUUAUUUUGAUGAUUUAUACAUAAGUUGAC
rnacentral:ncRNA from 1 species